CAUCAUUCGCCUUUACUUUCAAUCAAAGUUCAAUUAGGACAACUUAUCAAAAAAUUUCUUUUAUUUGUUGCACGAAACAAUAUUUUAGAAAAUUACUUGUCUGGUCGACAAACAAAAUUAACAACACUAGCUGUCGUUGGUCUUGAUGAAGGUGGGAGUGAUCUUGCCUAUACUAUCCAAAAGAACUUAACUCUGAGAAUUAAAUACUCAACAGACACGUUGACACAAGCCAAGACCUCCACAACGGCCACCGCGAAAUCGGCCACCAACAUCAAGUCCGCCAAAACGUCCGGCAAAACGAC
rnacentral:lncRNA from 1 species